CGGGGCGGGAUGGGCGUGGGCAGCAAGACUGGCGGAGGGAAGAACCGGAGCGCGGGAGUCCGCAGGUGCUGACCUCUGCAGCAGGGCCUGUGCCCCCUAGUCGCCUCGCCUGGGUUCCCGCGGGCGUCUGUGGGUCUCUAAGGCAUCCCUUCCAGGGUGAUACCCUUUUUGUGGGAGUCCAAUCAGAGCGAACCUUUUGGGCGGUAAAUUAUCAUGCUGUGGGCGUGUUUCAAAGAUGAGGUUCCUGAAGCCCUCCAGUGUCUGGAGGCAGCCCUGUCCUUGGCUGUCCUGUGUCCUGGGAGUCCCAGCACUGCGGUCCGCCUGCCUCUGCUCUGCGUGCCGGGCUGCCUGGCUCCCUUUGUGCGCAUCCACUCAGAGACUACAUCUUCUGCCAGACAACUUGUAUCUACAGACGCAGGUAGCAGGCUCUGCAAAGUUCCAGUAACAGAGGGGAAGAGUCACCGCACCGGCCUUUUUCCUGCAGGGGGAAUGCCAGCUCACCUCUCAGUACACGUGGAGGCCUCAUUAACUUUGCUAGCAAGGUUUCUCAAUUUAAGUGAACAUCACGUGUCAACACGGCUCAGAAGCGUGUCGCUAGGUUCCACAUGCCCUGCGAGUCAUCAGCCACCGUGUCAGCCAAGUUGCCACUGUAAGAGCUUGAUUGCUCAUGAAGCUGUUACCAGGAACAACUUCGCUCCUUCUCUCGUAAAGAUCUAUGCCAUUUGCAAAGCUGGAAAACCAGGCUCUAAGACCAACCAAAUGUAA
rnacentral:lncRNA from 1 species